rnacentral:rRNA from 1 species
UAACGCGUAAAGAACUUGCCUCACAGCUAGGGACAACAUUUGGAAACGAAUGCUAAUACCUAAUAUUAUGAUAAUAGGGCAUCCUAUAAUUAUGAAAGCUAUAAGCGCUGUGAGAGAGCUUUGCGCCCAUUAGCUAGUUGGAGAGGUAACGGCUCACCAAGGCGAUGAUGGGUAGCCGGCCUGAGAGGGUGAUCGGCCACAAGGGGACUGAGACGCGGCCCUU